rnacentral:RNase_P_RNA from 1 species
GAAGCAGGCCAGACCGCCGCUGGUGCGAGCGUGGAAACACGGCACUGGAGGAAGGUCCGGACUGCAUAGAGCGGCGUAGCAGCUAACGGCUGUCCACCGUGAGGUGAGGAUCAGAGCAACAGAGACGAGUCAGUGCAGGGCCCCGUGAGGGUGUUCUGUGAGGCGCAGGCGCAAGCCGGCGGUUCGUGCGGCCUGCCGCACGGACUCGGGCGCAAGCCCGAACCGAACAGCCACCCAGUGCGGGGCAAAGCCCCGUACUGGGUGAAACGGGCAAUCUCUACGCGCAGCAACACCAAGUAGGCCGGCGUUGACGUGGCUCGCGGAGCCGGCGGGUAGGUGGCACCGAGCCGAGGGGCGACUCUCGGCCCAGAGGAAUGGCGGUCACGGCAGGGCUCGCGCAAGCGGCGCUGCCGCACAGAAUCCGGCCUAUCGGUCUGCUUCACAC